rnacentral:pre_miRNA from 1 species
AACCUGUGCAGGUUGGUGGGCUCCAAGGCUGGGCUGGGCAAGUAACUCUUCGGAAGGCUCACCCUCAAACACAACUAGGAGG